AAAAAAAAAAAAGGUUAACAUCAUUGGAUAUCAGAGAAAUUCAAAUAGAACCACAAUGAACAACAUUAUACAUUCACUAGAAUGGCUCAGCUUUAAAAACUGGCCAGGCACAUUGGCUCAUGCCUGUAAUCCUAGAGGCUUGAGAGGCUGAGGCAGGCAGAUCACAAGUUCAAAGCCAGCCUCAGCAAAAAAAAAAGAGGCUUCAGCCUCCUGCAUCUAUGGGAUUACAGGCAUGCACCACUGUACCCCGCUCCACUGAUUAUUUAACCCAUAGCUUUUAAAAAUCUGCUUCUUCACUUCUAAACCCUUGGAUUUUUUUUUCUAGGUUUCUGUUUGUAAUUGACUUCAGUUUUAAUUUUAUGGUGGUCAGAGAAAGUGGUCUAUAUAGAAUACCAGUCCUUAGAAGUUUGUUGAGAUCUGAAUUUAGUUUAAUCUUUGAAAUGUUCCAUGUUUUUCCAGGAAAAACAUAUAUUCUGAAAUAAUUGGGUACAGUGGUAUCUAUCCCUUUAAAAAGUUAAAUAUAUAUGAAAAAUCUUCUAAACUGUUUACCAAAGAGUUAUCAUUUUACAUCCCCAUCAGCAUUGGAUGACAAUACUAGUUGUUCCACAUCCCUUAUCAACACUUGGGAUGGUCAGUUUAAAUUUUUUUUUUUGGUAGCAGGGAUUGAACUCAGGGGCACUCGACCACAUGAGUUCACAAACAGGUCCACAGUGGCAACGUUCUCACUCUUUGGUCAUUGAUGGGAUCAGUGAAGUUGCUGCUGGGGCCUUACAGUAUCGGCAGAGCCUCCAUUUAGUGAGCACAUACUCAGAGCAGAGGCACUUUACAUGGAUUCUCUCAGGCCUCACAACACCAUGAAGAGGUGGGGAAUAUAAUUCCCAUUUCCCAGCUAGGGAACCGGAGGCUCAGAGACAUGAAGCCAUUGCUUAAGGCUGCACUAACGCUCAAGACAGGGUGACCAGCUCCAGACUUGUGCUUUGUUGUCUAUGUGGGAGUCAAACUGAAUUGGAGGCCAUAAUUCUGCCUCAUUUUCCCCAGCAUUCCUAUUCCUGGGCUCUCUGAGAGGGUCUCAGCUGUCAGCAUGAUGGUUCUGAGGCCCAGGACCUGCAGCUACCUCUGUAACCAGUUCCUUCCUCCUUGCGACAUGCCAAGUGUAAAAUGUCUUUAAGAAGUACAAAAAUGAUAGAAGGUGUGAAAGAACUCUGAGAAACAUAGAAGAAACACCAAUGAAAGAUUGGAGAUGAAAGACUGCAACGUGGAAGCCAAGCCGUACAUUAAGAAAGAUGGACAGACAGCGUUGGAAAAAGAACAGCAACUCCUGGGUACAAGAUGACUGUUCCCUAGAAAUGCUGGUUGGGUAAUCAGUAGUCUGAUUAAUGUGGAAGAUCACAGCCCAGUAAAAAUGUGUUAUGGCUGAGUGUCUUGCAGUGCAAGCUGGUGCGAAUUAAGUGCUAAACACAUAAAAUAAAUAUAUGAAACUAGUUGUAUCUGCUGUAACUCACACCACUGCAGGAGCUUUUAAAAGUUGCUAAUAAAAUAAUAAUACAUUUUA